rnacentral:misc_RNA from 1 species
AUACAGGAUCACGUGUCCAACUUGGAAGAAAUAAUUCCAUAGAAUCAUCUAAAGAUGUGGAAAAUGAAUCUUUAAAAAGAAAUAAGUUGAAUGGUUCUCAGGUUUCACUUUCUGCAAAUGAUUCUUCUCAGCGCAAUACAUUUAAUAACUCUAAAUAUUUUGCUUCAUCCAAGAAAUUUUUCUCAGCUUCUCUUCCGGGAUCAAGAAUUAUGUCUCGAGCAACGUCACCAACAUCAAGGCGAUCUAGUCCGCCUCGUGCAACAACACCAACCCCAAAUAUUUCUGUGCAUGCAUUGCCAAAAGUUGUUGUGGAUGACACUAAAAGAUCAAAUGAUAGGCUGAGUGAAGAAGUUGUUAAAUUAAGGGCUCAGGUUGAAGAAUUUACUCGCAAAGCUCAGCUUCAAGAAG